rnacentral:rRNA from 1 species
GAGACCUACGGGGGGCAGCAGUGGGGGAUAUUGCACAAUGGGGGGAACCCUGAUGCAGCGACGCCGCGUGGGUGAAGAAGCGCCCCGGCGCGUAAAGCCCUGUCAGCAGGGAAGAAGAAGGACGGUACCUGACCAAGAAGCCCCGGCUAACUACGUGCCAGCAGCCGCGGUAAUACGUAGGGGGCAAGCGUUAUCCGGAUUUACUGGGUGUAAAGGGGGCGCAGACGGCGAUGCAAGCCAGGAGUGAAAGCCCGGGGCCCAACCCCGGGACUGCUCUUGGAACUGCGUGGCUG